rfam:Betaproteobacteria bacterium RBG_16_66_20 RBG_16_scaffold_1178, whole genome shotgun sequence.
CGGGGAUCGCAGGCUCCCCGCCGCAUUUUUCUUCAUUCCAAGACGCCGGUGCGUCCAAGCUCUGC